UAUAUAUAAGUGUUAAAUGCAUAAAAAAUUUUGAAUUUUUUGGUAAUAAUUAAAAUUUAUUAUAUAUAC
rnacentral:tRNA from 1 species